rnacentral:rRNA from 1 species
GAUGAACGCUGGCGGCGUGCCUAAUACAUGCAAGUCGAGCGAACAGACUAGGAGCUUGCUCCUCUGACGUUAGCGGCGGACGGGUGAGUAACACGUGGAUAACCUACCUAUAAGACUGGGAUAACUUCGGGAAACCGGAGCUAAUACCGGAUAAUAUAUUGAACCGCAUGGUUCAAUAGUGAAAGACGGUUUUGCUGACACUUAUAGAUGGAUCCACGCCGCAUUAGCUAGUUGGUAAGGGAACGGCUUACCAAGGCAACGAUGCGUAGCAGACCUGGGAGGGGGAUCGCCAACACUGGAACUGAGAACCGGUCAAGAUUCCUACGGGAGGAAGCAGUAGGGAACCUUCCGCAAUGGGCGAAAGCCUGACGGAGCAACGCCGCGUGAGUGAUGAAGGUCUUCGGAUCGUAAAACUCUGUUAUUAGGGAAGAACAAAUGUGUAAGUAACUAUGCACGUCUUGACGGUACCUAAUCAGAAAGCCACGGCUAACUACGUG